rnacentral:rRNA from 1 species
ACAGGUGGUGCAUGGUUGUCGUCAGCUCGUGUCGUGAGAUGUUCGGGUUAAGUCCCGCAACGAGCGCAACCCUCGACCUUAGUUGCCAGCAUUCAGUUGGGCACUCUAAGGUGACUGCCGGCUAAAAGUCGGAGGAAGUGGGGAUGACGUCAAAUCAUCAUGCCCCUUAUGACCUGGGCUACACACGUGCUACAAUGGGCGGUACAAAGAGAAGCAACCUCGCGAGGGUGAGCAAAUCUCAAAAAGCCGUUCUCAGUUCGGAUUGAAGUCUGCAACUCGACUUCAUGAAGUCGGAAUCGCUAGUAAUCGCGGAUCAGCAUGCCGCGGUGAAUACGUUCCCGGGCCUU